UCGGAAGGAUCAUUACCGAGUGCGGGCCCUCGCGGCCCAACCUCCCACCCUUGUCUCUAUACACCUGUUGCUUUGGCGGGCCCACCGGGGCCACCUGGUCGCCGGGGGACGCACGUCUCCGGGCCCGCGCCCGCCGAAGCGCUCUGUGAACCCUGAUGAAGAUGGGCUGUCUGAGUACUGUGAAAAUUGUCAAAACUUUCAACAAUGGAUCUCUUGGUUCCGGCAUCGAUGAAGAACGCAGCGAAAUGCGAUAAGUAAUGUGAAUUGCAGAAUUCCGUGAAUCAUCGAAUCUUUGAACGCACAUUGCGCCCCCUGGCAUUCCGGGGGGCAUGCCUGUCCGAGCGUCAUUUCUGCCCUCAAGCACGGCUUGUGUGUUGGGUGUGGUCCCCCCGGGGACCUGCCCGAAAGGCAGCGGCGACGUCCGUCUGGUCCUCGAGCGUAUGGGGCUCUGUCACUCGCUCGGGAAGGACCUGCGGGGGUUGGUCACCACCAUGUUUUACCACGGUUGACCUCGGAUCAGGUAGGAGUUACCCGCUGAACUUAAGCAUAUCUAAACCCGGGAAGGAAAUCAUUACCGAGUGCGGGCCCUCGCGGCCCACCUCCCCCUUGUCUCUAUACACCUGUUGGCUUUGGCGGGGCCCCGGGGGGCCCUGGGUCGCCGGGGGAACGCAGUUCUCCGGGCCGCGCCCGCCGAAGCGCUCUGUGGAACCUGGAUGGAAGAAUGGGGCCUGUUCUGAAGUUACCUGGUGAAAAAAUUUGUUCAAAAACUUUUCAACAAAUGGGGAAUCUCUUUGGGGUUUCCGGGCCUUCGAAUUGAAAAGAAAAGGCAGGCGGAAAAAUGCCGGAAUAAAGGUUAAAUUGGUGGAAAAUUUUGGCAAGAAAAUUUUCGGUGGGAAAUUCAAUCGGAAAAUUCUUUUUGGAAAACGGCCCAAUUUUGGCGCCCCCCGGGGGGCAUUUUUCCCGGGGGGGGGGGGCCAU
rnacentral:rRNA from 1 species